GGGAAGAACACAGAAGGACAAAAGAGCAUGGGCUCUCAGUCUCCAGGCUGGGUUCAACUGUGGCCACACUGUGGGACACACAUCUGUAUCUGAGCCUCUAGGAAGAAGGGAAACUGACAACUCCAACAGGGAACACUGGUCUGCUUGGGGCCAUGUGAAUGAGUGGCAUAGAUUGAGUCAGGACCCAGUGUCACAUAGGACAAAUCAUAGAAGGAAACUGGUAGCAUGGCUAAAAGAGAUCAGAAGUGGAAAGGGUGAUGAAACACUCCAUCUCAGAGAUGAUCCAGUGAAGACAUGAGGAGCACCUAGCUCAGUGGUCUGAUCAAAGUGGGUGAUGAGCUUGUCAUUAUGUUGGCCUUUGCCUCUGUGCAGAUAUAGCUGGUAACACGUGUUUCAAAGCCUCUUCCUAGCAGAGUCGAAAG
rnacentral:lncRNA from 1 species